UUUCCGUAGGUGAACCUGCGGAAGGAUCAUUGCCGAUUUGGCGGACCGAGCGUUAGCGAGGUUCCGCGAUUUCCUGUAUUUAAAACCCACACUUUUGAAUUAUAUGUAUAUUUUUGUAUUUUCGAUAAAAAAAGAUCACUUUCAACAACGGAUCUCUUGGCUCUUGCAUCGAUGAAGAACGUAGCGAAGUGCGAUAAGUAAUGUGAAUUGCAGAAUUCCGUGAAUCAUCGAAUCUUUGAACGCAAAUUGCACUCUCUGGUAUUCCGGAGAGUAUGCCUGUUUGAGGGUCAGUUAAAUAAAAAUCGAUGUUGUUGCCAUCUUGCGUGGUGACGCAUCGGAUGAGGGUCGUCUUACCUUCGGUUAAGUGACCUAAAAUUUUGCAUGAUUUUUUCGAACGUAUUUAAAUUAUUUACGUGCGUUUGUGAUAAUCGAACAUUAGACGUGAUCAUUCUCAUGAUUCGCGCCUAUGAUUUCCCAUCAAAAUGACCUCAAAUCAGGUAAGAGUACCCGCUGAACUUAA
rnacentral:rRNA from 1 species